AUUAUAUUUUUUAGAAAGCUGACUACCUGCAUAAGCUAGAGGAAGAGAAAGCGAAAGCAGUUCUUGAAUCUCUGGACAAAUCAGACAAAGAAAACAUAUCGGAUUUGGAAACACUGAAGUUCCUGGAUAAAGCUGACAAAAUUGCACGUAAAAAAACUGGUGGAGGGUG